rnacentral:rRNA from 1 species
UNNNNUGACAGAUUGAUAGCUCUUCUUGAUUCUUUGGGUGGUGGUGCAUGGCCGUUCUUAGUUGGUGGAGUGAUUUGUCUGGUUAAUUCCGUUAACGAAACGAGACUUAACCUGCUAAAUAGGGUACGGGAAUAAGCUUUGGCUGUCCCGUGAUCGCUUCUUAGAGGGACUUUGCGGUUAUAAAUCGCAAGGAAGUUUAAGGCAAUAACAGGUCUGUGAUGCCCUUAGAUGUCCUGGGCUGCACGCGCGCUACACUGAUGCGUUCAUCGAGUUUAUCCUUGGCCGAGAGGCCUGGGUAAUCUUUAGUACGCAUCGUGAUGGGGAUCGAUUAUUGCAAUUAUUAAUCGUGAACGAGGAAUGCCUAGUAUGCGCAAGUCAUCAGCUUGUGCAGAUUACGUCCCUGCCUU